GGUCAAGUUACGAAGGGCAUACGGUGGAUGCCUUGGCGCAGGAAGACGAUGAAGGACGUGGCCAGCUGCGAUAAGCUUCGGGGAGUCGCUAAACAGGCAUUGAUCCGAAGAUUUCCGAAUGGGGAAACCCAUCCUGCUUAAAGCAGGAUAUCUUCAUCUGAAUACAUAGGGUGAAGAGGGAAACCUAGGGAAGUGAACCAUCUCAGUACCUAGAGGAAAGGAAAACAACCGUGAUUCCCUCAGUAGCGGCGAGCGAACCGGGAACAGCCUAAACCAUAUACAUGGUAAAGCUCGUGUGCGUUGUGUAUAUGGGGUUACGGGGAUUAACAGGACUCUGACACGGCAGAGUCAAAGAGUUAUAAAAAGUAAAUUUAGCCAAAUACUCUGGAAAGUGUAACCAUAGAAGGUGACAGUCCUGUAGGCGAAAAAUUUACUUCUCUUUGUUAAUUCCCCGAGUACCACAGGUCACGAGGAAUCUUGUGGGAAUUUGGGAGGACCAUCUCUCAAGGCUAAAUACUCUCCUGCGACCGAUAGUGAACCAGUACCGUGAGGGAAAGGUGAAAAGUACCCCUGUUAGGGGAGUGAAAUAGUACCUGAAACCGUAUGCUUACAAGCAGUCGGAGCCUCAGAUAACUGGGGUGACGGCGUGCCUAUUGCAUAAUGAGCCGGCGAGUUACUCCGCGCGGCAUGGUUAAGCAUGGACACAUGCGGAACCGCAGCGAAAGCGAGUCUGAAUAGGGCGAUGAGUCGUGUGGAGUAGACGCGAAGCUGGGUGAUCUACCCUUGGCCAGGUUGAACUCCGGGUAACACCGGAGGAAGGACCGAACCGAUGUCGGUUGAAAACGACUCGGAUGAGCUGAGGGUAGGGGUGAAAGGCCAAUCAAACCCAGUAAUAGCUUGUUCUCUCCGAAAUAGUUUUAGGGCUAGCCUCGUAUGUUUGGUAAAGGGGGUAGAGCUCUGGAUGGCCUAGGGGGUCGAAAGGCCUUCCAAACCCAACCAAACUCCAAAUCCCUUUAACCAUAAUACGGGAGUAAGACUGCGGGGGCUAAGCUUCGUGGUCGAGAGGGAAACAGCCCAGACCGUCAGCUAAGGUCCCUAAAUGUAAGCUAAGUGGGCAAGGAUGUAGAGACGCAGAGACAGCCAGGAGGUUGGCUUAGAAGCAGCCAUCCUUUAAAGAAAGCGUAAUAGCUCACUGGUCGAGUAUCUUUGCGCCGACAAUGUACCGGGGCUAAAGCUUACUACCGAAGCUACGGAUUAUCAGUGUCUUCGGAUGCUGAUAAUGGUAGGAGAGCAUUCUUAUCUGGCUGAAGCUUCGAUGUGAGUCGGGGUGGACAGAUGAGAAGAGAUUAUGCCGGCAUGAGUAGCGAGUAUUCCGGCCAAAACCCGGAACGCCGAAUAUCUAAGGUUUCCUGAGGAAGGGCAGUCCGCUCAGGGUUAGUCGGUUCCUAAGCUGAGGCCGAAAGGCGUAGGCGAUGGACAGCAGGUCAACAUUCCUGCACCACUUGAGAAGCGUUUGUACGAAGGGGCGACGCAGGAGGAUAGGCAUACACACGAUUGGAAAUGUGUGGCCGCCAGGUAGAGGGAACUUCUAGGCAAAUCCGGAAGUUCAUCACCUCGAGCACGGCGGGGAAGAUAACCUUCGGGUUAUCCAACUUGCUGAAUCCACGCUGCCAAGAAAAACCUCUAAGGAGUUUCUCAGGUGACCGUACCGUAAACCAACACAGGUAGAUAGGGAGAGAAUCCUAAGGCGUACGUGUGAACCCUCUUUAAGGAACUCGGCAAAUUGACCCCGUAACUUUGGGAGAAGGGGUGCCUUAGUAGUGUGGUACUUAACUUUACGUUUGGGAAGCACGAGGAGGCCGCAGAGAAAUGGCCCAGGCGACUGUUUACUAAAAACACAGGUCUCUGCAAAGAAAAAAUCUCGAUGUAUAGGGACUGACACCUGCCCGGUACCGGAAGGUUAAGGGGAGGGGUUAUCCUGUUUUUUAUUAAGAACAGGAGAAGCUCCAAACCGAAGCCCUGGUAAACGGCGGCCGUAACUAUAACGGUCCUAAGGUAGCGAAAUUCCUUGUCGGGUAAGUUCCGACCCGCACGAAAGGUGCAACGACUUGGGCACUGUCUCAAAGAGGGGCACGGCGAAAUUGUAGUACCGGUGCAGAUGCCGGUUACCUGCCGCAGGACGGAAAGACCCCGGCACCUUUACUACAUCUUAUCAUUGGAUUUUGGAGUAUUAUGUGCAGGAUAGGUGGGAGACUUUGAAGCUCCAACGCAAGUUGGGGCGGAGUCGUCCUUGAGAUACCACCCUUAAUGUUCUGAGAUUCUAACUUACAUCCGCAAUCCGGAUGAAGGACAAUGUUAAGUGGGUAGUUUGACUGGGGCGGUCACCUCCCAAAAGGUAACGGAGGUGCCCUAAGGUUCCCUCAGGCUGUUUGGAAAUCAGCCGAAGAGUGUAAAGGCAUAAGGGAGCUUGACUGUGAGACUGACUAGUCGAUCAGGUAGGAAACUAGGGCUUAAUGAUCCGGCGGUCCCGCAUGGAAGGGCCGUCGCUCAACGGAUAAAAGGUACGCCGGGGAUAACAGGCUAAUAGGGCCCAAGAGCUCAUAUCGACGGCCCUGUUUGGCACCUCGAUGUCGGCUCAUCGCAUCCUGGGGCUGAAGCGGGUCCCAAGGGUUGGGCUGUUCGCCCAUUAAAGCGGUACGUGAGCUGGGUUUAGAACGUCGCGAGACAGUUCGGUCCCUAUCCGCGGUAGGCGUAGGAAAUCUGAGAGGAUCGGUCCCUAGUACGAAAGGACCGGGAUGGACGAACCUCUAGUGCACCAGUUGUCCCGCCAGGGGCAUCGCUGGGUAGCUAUGUUCGGGCGAGAUAACCGCUGAAGGCAUAUAAGCGGGAAGCUCACCUCAAGAUGAGAUUUCCCUCCCCGGGAGACCGGGGCUAAAGGGCCCUCGAAGACGACGAGGUUGAUAGGCUGGAUGUGUAAGUCCGGCAACGGAUUUAGCUAACCAGUACUAAUCGCCCGUGUGGCUUGACCAU
rnacentral:rRNA from 1 species